rnacentral:rRNA from 1 species
AGUGAACGCUGGCGGUAGGCCUAACACAUGCAAGUCGAACGGCAGCACAGUAAGAGCUUGCUCUUACGGGUGGCGAGUGGCGGACGGGUGAGGAAUACAUCGGAAUCUACUUUUUCGUGGGGGAUAACGUAGGGAAACUUACGCUAAUACCGCAUACGACCUACGGGUGAAAGCAGGGGAUCUUCGGACCUUGCGCGAUUGAAUGAGCCGAUGUCGGAUUAGCUAGUUGGCGGGGUAAAGGCCCACCAAGGCGACGAUCCGUAGCUGGUCUGAGAGGAUGAUCAGCCAAACUGGAACGGGGACACGGUCAAGAUCCCAACGGGAGGAAGCAGUGGGGAAAAUUGGCCAAUGGGCGCAAGCCUGAGCCGGCCAUCCGGCGGGGGUGAAGAAGGCCUUCGGGUUGUAAAGCCCUUUUGUUGGGAAGAAAAAGCAGCAGGUUAAUACCCCGCUGUUCCGACGGUACCCAAAGAAUAAGCACCGGCUAACUUCGU